rnacentral:tRNA from 1 species
GGAUCUGUAGCUCAGUUGGUUAGAGCAGACGGCUCAUAACCGUCCGGUCGUAGGUUCGAGUUCUACCAGAUCCA